rnacentral:rRNA from 1 species
UGGGGAAUAUUGCACAAUGGGCGAAAGCCUGAUGCAGCAACGCCGCGUGAGCGAUGAAGGCCUUCGGGUCGUAAAGCUCUGUCCUAUGGGAAGAUAAUGACGGUACCAUAGGAGGAAGCCCCGGCUAACUACGUGCCAGCAGCCGCGGUAAUACGUAGGGGGCAAGCGUUAUCCGGAAUUACUGGGCGUAAAGGGUGCGUAGGCGGUUUAUCAAGUCAGGGGUGAAAGGCUACGGCUCAACCGUAGUGAGCCUCUGAAACUGGUGAACUUGAGUGUAGGAGAGGAGAGUGGAAUUCCUAGUGUAGCGGUGAAAUGCGUAGAUAUUAGGAGGAACACCAGUUGCGAAGGCGGCUCUCUGGACUGUAACUGACACUGAGGCACGAAAGCGUGGGGAGCAAACA